CCUGUGUCCCUAGGUUCUGUAAGAUCAAUUCUCUAGGAUAUAUACUCAGAAGUGGGUCUCCAGGUGAUGGGGCAUGCAUAUAUACCUACUAAUAGCACACAGAGCCAUGGAUCCCUUCAGGAUGACCUGUGGGCUGACUCAUUUGCCUGAGGGUUUCCAUAGCCACUCAUUCCAGCACCAUCAAGACUGAAGAUCCUGAUGCUGACUAGUAUCCCCAGCAUGUUCCUGAGGCCAGACCCAGAAAUAAGAAACACAUCUGUUUUCUGACCAGCAUGCAGCCGACAGUCCCCAUGACGAGAAGUGUGGAGCCUGAUGUUCACGUCAGUGAGGCUGCCCUGGGUGGCUGGCUGCAAAACAGGCCUCACACAAAGCUUGCCGACUUCUAAGCCGCACUGGACCUGCUUGAAUCUGUCGCUAUUGCUGUUAAGAUCCAUUCUACAUGUCCCAAGAUGCAGACCUUUAUGGACUAAGCCAACCCAGGUUCCCUUGACCUCUGAGUUUGGAGCAAGACCAGGAGGCACCAGCGGGGAGGUCAGAGGGUUGCAGAAGAGGAGGUAUUCCCUCCUCCACCCCUUUGGGCCUGGGGUGGUAAUGGCUUCCCCUAAUUGCUAGCCCGCGGGGUGCUUCACCAUCCCCUGGUGGCUCCCUCGACCUUGUUGGUAUCUCCGAACAUUGCCUCUUCAUUAAACACUCUUCAGCUAAACCCUAAGACCUGGCCUUCCUCCAGUGGCUCUGAAAGACAAAGUCUAUUUAUUUAUUUAUUCCAAACAGAUACCAAGCAAACUUCCAUCUUUAUUAAUAUAGGUUACAUACAUUUUUAAAUUUAUUUUUAUUUUUUUAAGAUUUUAUUUAUUUAUUUGACAGAGACAGAGAUAGCGAGAGAGGGAACACAAGCAGGGGGAGUGGGAGAGGGAGAAGCAGGCUUUCCGCUG